AUGGGAAAGGAACCUGAGGCCCUUGUUAUGAAGUUGACAGUCUUCAUCCAAGGGCAUUCCUUGCAAUUUCUUGUGGAUUCUGGCAGUACACAUUCUUUCCUUGAUAGCAAGUAUGUGAUAUUGUCAGGUGUUUCUUCCAUUACUCCAGUCAAUGUUACAUAUGCAGGUGGAACUGUUAGUUCUUGUCAGCAUAGUAUUAAUGCUUGCAGUUGGGCCAGUAAUGGGGUGCAGUUUACAUCAGAUUUCAAGCUGCUGUCUCUCAACACUUAUGAUGGUAUACUCAGAUUAGACUGGUUGGCCCAACAUAGUCCCAUGAAAAUCGACUGGGUUGAGCAGUGGAUGUCUUUCAAUCAUGCAGGAAAAUGGUUACCUUGCAAGGGAUCAAUUCAACUGAGUGUGCUUAUACAUGUGUAUCCAUCUCAACUAUUCAGGUUUCAGAUCCUUCUCCAAUUCCUAUAG
rnacentral:rRNA from 1 species